rnacentral:lncRNA from 1 species
GAGAAAGAGAAGAGAAAGAAAGAAAGAAAGAAAGAAAGAGAGAGAGAAAGAGAGAGAGAAAGAAAGAAAGAAAGAGAGAGAGAGAAAGAAAGAGAGAGAGAGAGAGAAAGAAAGAAAGAAAGAAAGAAAGAAAGAAAGAAAGAAAGAAAGAAAGAAAGAAAGAAAGAAAGAAAGAAAGAAAGAAAGAAAGAAAGAAAGAAAGAAAGAAAGAAAGAAAGAAAGAAAGAAAGAAAGAAAGAAAGAAAGAAAGAAAGAAAAAGAAAGAAAGAAAGAAGCUCAAAUAGAUUCAUACGAAUAUGGUUGCAAGGAUUUUUUGAGAACUUCAAUAUAUCUUU